GCGUCCGCCGGGUCGCAGGGUGCCGCGCCCGGCCCCCUCGGGGGGAGCGGGGUGCAGCGGGCGCUCGGCGUCCUGCAGUUCAUGACCGCGGCGGCCGCG
rnacentral:tRNA from 1 species